AUUGAACGCUGGCGGCAGGUCUAACACAUGCAAGUCGAACGAGUGGCGGACGGGGGAGUAAUGUCUGGGAAACUGCGUGAUGGAGGGGGAUAAAUACUGGAAACGGUAGCUAAUAACGCAUACCAUCGGAUGUGCCCAGAUGGGAUUAGCUAGUAGGCGGGGUAAAGGCUCACCUAGGCGACGAUCCCUAGCUGGUCAGAGAGGAUGACCGUCCACACUGGAACUGAGACACGGUCCAGACUCCUACGGGAGGCAGCAGUGGGGAAUAUUGCACAAUGGGCGCAAGCCUGAUGCAGCCAUGCCGCGUGUAUGAAGAAGGCCUUCGGGUUGUAAAGUACUUUCAGCGGGGAGGCGUUACCCGCAGAAGAAGCACCGGCUAACUCCGUGCCAGCCGCCGCGGUAAUAC
rnacentral:rRNA from 1 species